GCGUCUGUAGCCUAGUUGGUAAAGGCAGCACUUUAGUAUGUGUCUCAGCAUAGCUGAGGUCGUGAGUUCGACUCUCACCAGACACA
rnacentral:tRNA from 1 species